GACCUUGUUAUUUAUCCUCACGUCUGCUUCUGCAAUCAAUCUCUUGCAAUCGUCAUUUUUGUUGACCUCUGUGAAGAAAAUCUAGCAGGUGGAAGAAGGGGUGUAAUUUAAUAGUGAGUUCAGGCCACACGGGAGGACGAGCUUCAGCAGGGUUGACCAUAACCACGGAAGAGAGAGCAUCCCCCACGCCCGACACGGUCCCGAGGUCAGAGUCUGAUGUGGGUCUCACGGGGCCAAUGUCAAGGUGUGGGCAGGGCUGAGUUCCCUCUGGAAGCUCCAGGAGAGAAUCCGUUUCCUGCCCUUUUUCAGCUUCUAGAGGUGCCCACGUUCCUUGGCUCGUGACCCCUUCCUUCUAUUUCCAAGCCAGCAGGGUAGCAUCUUCCAACCUCUCGCUGACUCUGACCUCCUACUUUCUCUCGUGACCCUUGUGAUGACCUUGGACAUACAGAGAAAAUCCAGGAACAUCUCCCCAUCUCAAGAUUCUUAACUAAUCCCAUCUGCAAAGUCCCUUUUGUCAUAGAAGGCAGCGUAUUCACAGAUUAUGGGAAUCAGGAUGUGGACAUCUUGGGGGGUGUUAUCGUGACACCACAGUGGUCGAGAGCGUGGCCACUGGAGCAGACUGGCUCUGCCAUUUGCUGCCUGUGGGGCCUUGGACAAGUCAUUUCACCUCUCCACGCCUCAGUUUCCCCAUCUGUAGAGAGAAGACAAUGACAGUCCUACCCCAUCAGGCUGCUGGAAGGGUCAGUGAGGUCAUAGCCAUACGUUCCUCAGGGCAGGCCGGGCACUCGACAAGGGCUGGGUGGAGGUUUGCACUUGUGGGACCAUCAGAGCUACGGGGGGGGUGGACUUUACUGGCCGUGGACCUGGGGCAGGGGCCAGAUGCCCUCUGCAGCCCAGGAACCUGGUGCUGACAGGGCCCAGGUGGCCCUCCAGCGCCCUGUCUGGGCUGCUCUGGUCAGCUCUGAGUGAUAAACGUGCAGCCCCGGAGGGGAGGCUCGUCUGCGCCCCAGAGCCCCCAGGGCCAGCCACCUUCUCCCACCUCCACCCGGGGGAGCUUCCCGAGGAGCUGGGGAGGAGCCUGGGGGCGGCACCCAGGCAGCAGGCCACAGGGAGUUGUCCCGGUCCAACCCCCUAUUGUGCAGGUGGGGAGACGAGAGAAGGAUGAGCCAGCUAAGGUGGCCCAGGUGCUACUGGUCUCCUGACUCCCGGCCCCCUGCUGUUUCCACAGCCCCUUGUGGCAAAUGUCGAGGGAUGUGGGUAGUGGCCAUGUUUCUGGAAUCUCCCCUGGCCACGGCCCAGGUAGCUGGGGAGGGACUGCCCCCUGAGAUCACCCAUCCAUCUGUCCGUCGUCCCCUCCUAAGGGCAGUGCUGGUCACACCACACUCGAAGACCCUCAGGCGUGCCCUGGGAGGGUGCAGGAGGGCAGGGAGUGGCUGGGGGCGCCAGGGCCACACACAGCUUUUUCUUGGAUUUAACACGUUUACAUGAAAGGACUUGCGUUCCCUUCAGUGUCACGUCUUCCCGUAUCACUGGGAAGUCACGGGCGCUGAGUGUGCACUUGGAGCAUGGGUCAUCCAUUGGCCGAGUGGUGGAGAAGAGACAGAAUCCGAAUUUCUCUGUCCCACCCCACCCCGCUCAAAGCCUCCAUUUUUCUCUGUUAAUAUAUAAUGUAUCUGCAUUUCUCUAAUGCGUUGUGAUGUUGAGCAUCCUUUCAUGUGUCUGUUCCGAUCUGUAGGUCUUCUUUGGAGAAAUGUCUGUUUAGGUCUUCUGCCCGUUUUUGCAUUGGGCUGUUUUCUUGAUAUUGAGCUGCAUGAGCUGCUUCUAAAUUUUGGAGAUUAAUCCUUUGUCAGUUGCUUCAUUUGCAAAUGUUUUCUCCCAUUCUGAGGGUUGUCUUUUCGUCUUGUUUAUGGUUUCCUUUGCUGUGCAAAAGCUUUUAAGUUUCUUUAGGUCCCGUUUUUUAAUUUUUGUUUUUAUUUCCAUUUCUCUACGAGGUGGGUCAAAAAGGAUCUUUCUGUGAUUUAUGUCAUAGAGCGUUCUGCCUUUGUUUUCCUCUAAGAGUUUUAUAGUGUCUGGCCUUACAUUUAGGUCUUUAAUCCAUUUUGAGUUUAUUUUUGCGUAUGGUGUUAGGAAGUGUUCCUUUUUUAAAAAACUAAUUAAUUAAUUAAUUAAUUUAUUUUUGGCUGUGUUGGGUCUUCUUUGCUGCGUGUGGGCUUUCUCUAGUUGCGGCGAGUGGGGGCUAUUCAUUGCGGUACGUGGGCUUCUCAUUGCGGUGGCUUCUCUUUUUGCGGAGCACGGGCUCUAGGCACACAGGCUUCAGUAGUUGUGGCUCGCAGGCUCAGUAGCUGUGGCUCGUGGGCUCUAGAGCGCAGGAUCAGUAGUUGUGGCUCACGGUCUUAGUUGCUCCAUGGCAUGUGGGAUCUUCCCGGACCAGGGCCCAAACCUGUGUCCCCUGCACUGGCAGGUGGAUUCCUAAGCACUGUACCACCAGGGAAGUCCCAGGAAGUGUUCUAAUUUCAUUGUUUUACAUGUAGCUGUCCAGUUUUCCCAGCAGCACUUAUUGAAGAGGCUGUCUUUUCUCCAUUGUAUAUUCUUGCCUCCUUUAUCAAAGAGAAGGUGACCAUAUGUGCGUGGGUUUAUCUCUGGGCUUUCUAUCCUGUUCCAUUGAUCUAUAUUUCUGUUUUUGUGCCAGCCACACCCAUCAGAAUGGCCAUCAUCAAAAAAUCUACAAACAAUAAAUGCUAGAGAAGGUGUGGAGAAAAGGGAACCCUCUUGCACUGCUGGUGGGAAUGUAAAUUGAUAUAGCCACUAUGGAGAACACUAUGGAGGUUCUUUAAAAAACUAAAAAUAGAACUACCAUACGACCCAGCAAGCCCACUACAGGGCAUAUAUCCUGAGAAAACAAUAAUUCAAAAGAAACACGUACCACAGUGUUCACUGCAGCACUAUUUACAACAGCCAGGACAUGGAAGCAACCUGUGUCCAUCGACAGAUGAAUGGAUAAAGAAGAUGUGGCACAUAUAUACAAUGGAAUAUUACUCAGCUCUAAAAAGAAAUGAAAUUGAGUUAUUUGUAGUGAGGUGGAUGGACCUAGAGUCUGUCAUACAGAGUGAAGUAAGUCAGAAAGAGAGAAACAAAUACCAUAUGCUAACACAUAUAUAUGGAAUCUAAAAAAAAAAAGGUUCUGAUGAACCUAGGGACAGGACAGGAAUAAAGACGCAGAUGAAGAGAAUGGACUUGAGGACACAGGGAGGGGGAAGAGUAAGCUGGGACAAAGUGAGAGAGUGGCAUGGACAUAUAUACACUACCAAAUGUAAAAUAGAUAGCUAGCGGGAAGCAGCCGCAUAGCACAGGGAGAUCAGCUCGGUGC